GUUUCAAUAGAUUCCAUUAAUCUACUAUGACAGUCAUGAUUUAGAAGUCAGCAACUCUUCGAGUUACCCCACAACGAGUACUUUUGUGAGGCAGCAGAACUGAAUUGUCUCGAAGUACUGACUUUUUCGUUCUUUUCCAAGCCAAUCCAUGAAGAUAGCGGAAAGUAAGGGUUUGUCGCGCGCGGGGCGGGUGGGUGGUGGGUAGACUUCUCCUAAAAAGAGAAUUCUGGAAGUCAUCAUAAUUAGACAAAGAGGAAAAUGUGCCAGACAGGAGUGGGUGGGGGCUGUUUUCUCCUGUGGUUGGUCGCGGUGCGUUGAAGAUCCCUAACCUCAGAUGAAGCUUCUGAGUUUCCAGUAGGCCAGCGGCCGCCCUGGAGACCCGAGGCUCCAGGAGAAGGCGGCGCAGGUGUCCGGGCUCCGGGCAGGCCACACAAAAGUGUCCGAACGCCUCGAGGACCGCGACAAGGGAAGUGUCUCUUCAAAGUGCGACCAAGUGGGGAAGAAGGUGUGAUUACUGUGGUCAGCAUCUAGAAAACAGAAGCACUCCCGCCUCCUCUGUGCUACAUCCUUCUUACUGGAUCUUUCUAUCAGUGAACAUUGUGGAAGUACCAUUACUACAUCGUCAUUCCUGAAGGAAAAGUUGCCAAACUUUUUUCUUUGGAGUUGCUUCGAAGUUGUUGGGAUUUUUGAUGAUGCCUCCCCUAUGUGGAUUACUACUGUUUGAACACUGGGAAUUCUCCAUCUUAAAGAAGCGCUCCCAAGUGACUACAGAAGCCUCGACACCCAGCGUGAUCAGGUAAGAGACCAGUCUCAUUUCACUGGUGAGUUUGCUGAAGUGUUAUCACAAGACAGCCAGAAUGAUGGAUGAGCUCUUCAGAUUAGAAAACUGAGGUGUUGGAGGCGUGACUUCCUCGUGGUCACACAGAGUGCUGGAGCGACCAUCCGUCGUGAUUAUCUGUGCGUGCUCCACUGUCCUAGUUGGUGCCCUGUGCUCACGUCUGUCAACAUCAGGAGCUGUGGAAUCCGAGUGCGGCUGCCAAGAGGAAUCCAGAAAAGCCAAAGAGCCCAAGCAUGUCAGACCUUCCUGUAGCCACACACACACACACCUCAAACCCCAAGGAAGUGAGUGAGAAUCACAGGCAGGGAGACAGCCAACCAGGUGAGCAACCACAUCAGUCUGAGGGCUAAAGCAACAGGAAAGGGUUUUUGGCAGUUCUGUUCGUUUGGCAACAUGAGGAUUUGACCUGAGCUUACACCAAAUUACCUCACGGCAAAUGAUUUUCUGCCGAGCACUACAGACGUUAGGCUGACUCCACUGAGCUCUUGGGCUGAAGACAGAUGAAUAUAUCCAAGAUGACGACUUAGUUUCAGGUGUGAUGGGGGGAUUGCUUCUCCUCGUUCAGGAAGAGGUUAAAUCCCAACUUUUUUUUCCACCUUUAGGGGAGGUUCUUCUGUUCAGAGCCAAUAGGGGAGCUUUGGGUUUGGGUCUUGAGUUUGGUUUUGAGCCUUCUGGUUUGGCUCUGUAUGGGUGUGGGUGUGUUUGUGCUUGUGGGUGGGGUGUGUGUAUGUGUAUUUGUGUAUUUCCACAUAGAUGGCUAAGACUGUUCUUCCUUUUUAUAAAUAUAAAUCUCUCUCUCUCUCUCUUUUUUUUUUUUCUAUUUGGGUCCAUAUGUUUUGAAGCUACCUCCUAGAUGAAUUGAAUUAGACUAUGCUAUUUUUAUUUACUUUUUAAUGUUUUUAGUAAUGAAAUCACUGGUUGGAACCUUAUGCAGUUUGGUGCUAUAAUAGGAUUUGCCAGGGUUCCAUUGUACUCUAAAUUAGUUUUAAAUUUCUGCCCCUUGCCUUCCUUUUCAUUUAUGUUAAAUGUUACUAUUAUGUGAAGAGAAGGGAUUUUAAUGAUAGUAAGAAGGUAUUUAGAGACUCCUGCUCUACUGCUCG
ensembl:lncRNA